GACAACAGGGAUUGCCCUAGUAACGGCGAGUGAAGCGGCAACAGCUCAAAUUUGAAAUCUGGCCCUCGUGGUCCGAGUUGUAAUUUGUAGAGGAUGCUUUUGGCGCGGUGCCUUCCGAGUUCCCUGGAACGGGACGCCAGAGAGGGUGAGAGCCCCGUACGGUUGGACGCCUAGCCUAUAUAUAGCUCCUUCGACGAGUCGAGUAGUUUGGGAAUGCUGCUCUAAAUGGGAGGUAAAUUUCUUCUAAAGCUAAAUACCGGCCAGAGACCGAUAGCGCACAAGUAGAGUGAUCGAAAGAUGAAAAGCACUUUGAAAAGAGGGUUAAAUAGCACGUGAAAUUGUUGAAAGGGAAGCGUUUGCGACCAGACUUUUUCCAGGCGGAUCAUCCGGUGUUCUCACCGGUGCACUUCGCCUGGUUUAGGCCAGCAUCGGUUCUCUGGGGGGGAUAAAGGCAGGGGGAAAGUAGCUCCUUCGGGAGUGUUAUAGCCCCCUGCGUAAUACCCCUCGGGGGACCGAGGACCGCGCUUCGGCAAGGAUGCUGGCGUAAUGGUCGUCAACGACCCGUCUUGAAACACGGACCAAGGAGUCGAACAUUUGUGCGAGUGUUUGGGUGUUAAACCCUCACGCGUAAUGAAAGUGAACGGAGGUGAGAGCCCUCACGGGUGCAUCAUCGACCGAUCCUGAUGUCUUCGGAUGGAUUUGAGUAAGAGCAUAACUGUUCGGACCCGAAAGAUGGUGAACUAUGCGUGGAUAGGGUGAAGCCAGAGGAAACUCUGGUGGAGGCUCGCAGCGGUUCUGACGUGCAAAUCGAUCGUCAAAUCUGCGCAUGGGGGCGAAAGACUUAUCGAACCAUUAAACCAGCGGUAAAUUUUAGUUUACUAGGUGGUUAAGAGGUCCCCCGGGAGGGGGGCUAGGUCGUCGGGCCAGCUUACCCUGUAGCUACCCUGUAGCUACCCGGUAGGUGCCUACCCUGGAGCUACCCUGCAGAGGGGGGCGCCAGGGGCGGCGGGCCCAGCCGACACCGCUAAAUUGCGGGGACGUCCUACAGAAGGCCACGGGCUACCGCCGGGCGCUGAAAAGCGAGCCGGCACCGAGAAUAGCGCUCUCGGGUAUGGUAAUAACGCCUGUGGUAGCGGACGACCUGCAGCCAACCCCGCAGCUUUAGGGGAGAGUUCACUGACUAAACAGCGGUGGGUUGGCGCUUCCCAGCGCCGGCCUAAGACAUAGUCGAUCCGGCGCCCGAAAGGGCGCCUACCCUACAGGUGACUACCCUGUAGAUGCCUACCCUGUAGGCAUGCAGCGGAGCUAGUAGCUGGUUACCGCCGAAGUUUCCCUCAGGAUAGCAGUGUUGUUUUCAGUUUUAUGAGGUAAAGCGAAUGAUUAGGGACUCGGGGGCGCUAUAUUGCCUUCAUCCAUUCUCAAACUUUAAAUAUGUAAGAAGCCCUUGUUACUUAAUUGAACGUGGGCAUUCGAAUGUAUCAACACUAGUGGGCCAUUUUUGGUAAGCAGAACUGGCGAUGCGGGAUGAACCGAACGCGGGGUUAAGGUGCCAGAGUGGACGCUCAUCAGACACCACAAAAGGUGUUAGUACAUCCUGACAGUUGGACGGUGGCCAUGGAAGUCGGAAUCCGCUAAGGACUGUGUAACAACUCACCAACCGAAUGUACUAGCCCUGAAAAUGGAUGGCGCUCAAGCGUCUCACCCAUACCUCGCCCUUAGGGUAGAACCGAUGCCCUAAGGAGUAGGCGGCCGUAGAGGUCAGUGACGAAGCCUAGGGCGGAGCCCGU
rnacentral:rRNA from 1 species